AAAAAUAAAAAUGAAGAAACUGAGGUCCAGUUUGAGGGACUUCUCCAAUUUUGUGCAGCUAAUAAAUAGUUAAAUCAGAAUUCCAACUAAGGUGUGUCUGACAGAAGGGACCAUGAAUUUGGGGCUCUACCAGCCCCCUGCAGAUCAGGUGUUUCUCACAUCUGUCAUCUGCUUGCUGUAUCUCAUUGACUAGCUGGUCUUAACUUAUGACAGAUGAGGUUUAUGGGCUCUCUGAACCCUAAUGUUGUGUAAAACAUUUAAUGAAAAUGAAUUUAUGAACCCAAGAGAGGUUUGGAUCAACAGAUACUUAUGAGAAUCUAUGUUUCUGCCUCUCCCCCCAAAACUGAAGAAUUUCUCCAUCUACUGUUCUACUGUUCUUAAAUAUAUUCAGAUUGUCCAUGAACUACAUGCUGCUGGUGAAGCCAUGGUAUCUUCCAAGAGGUUAUAAGUCUAGAUAUAUACACAAAUACCUAUAUUUCUACUUUAAGAAGAAAAAGAAGCACUCUUUAACUCAAAGAGAAUUAAUCUGUUCAUGACACAUCCAAGUAGUUUUUGGGAAUAGGAACCCCAGGGAGAGUCACAAUAGAAACUGACAGAAAGGAUUGUAGGAAGUCAAAGUUUUCUCUAUUAAAAAUGAUUAUCUCCCAGCAUACUAGAUUACUUACUUAUUUUACUUGUUAUUUUAUGGUAUGUGUCCCUGCUGCACUAGACUGUAAGGUAGAGAUUUCAUCUGCUUUGUUCGUUUCUGUGUCCCCAGUUCCUAGAAUACCACCUAUAACAUUAUCAACAUUUAGUCAGGAUUUGUUGGAUGAAUGAAUGAAUGAAUGAAUGAAGAUAAUAUGGUUUAUUCCUUGAUUUAUCAAGGCAGCCUCUAGUCUUUCCAUGGGGAACAAGCAAGUUCACAAAGUUCACAAAAGAAAUAGUAAGGAAUGUGGUAAAAACUUUCUGAUUAUAAGACUGGAACAAUUAUAAGCAUUUUCGAAAGCUCACUCAACACUUUGCAGUAAAACAGGGUGUGGCUUUUCUAACCCUUAACUAUCCCAAGGAGAAAAAGGAAAAAACAUGAGUAUUCUUGUGAUUGAAAGAUACCUCAUCACCACCUAAGAAUGAUGGGUUUCUUUCAUUGUAACAAAAGUAUCUGCCUUCCUGGUGCCUCAAACAGAGUAAAUGUCCAAUAGAUAGUUAUUGACUCAUCGAAUGAAUAAGUGAAUUAGAGAAUGAAUGAAUGCCAUAUAUUGCCCAUUUCAGUAAAUAUUAAGGCAAGAAAAGCAA